UUGCCGGUAUUGUCGAUAUUGAACCUGUAUUUGCUUGGUAUCUGAUCAAUACCAGAUAUUGCAGUAUUGCACACCAAUACUUAACAACGCUGUGCUCCCACCGAACGUACUUGUGUGCGGGAGCAGGCAGUGGACCAAACCACUGUGGAAGGGGAGGGGGGGCUCAAGAUGUUUUAAAACUGCAUUGUUUUACUACCUACACAGUUAUUUUAUUUACAUAAUAUUACAUUAUUUACAAUACACACAGCAUGUUUUUUUAUUCAUUUUUAGGAUAUAUAUUUAUUUACUAUGCUCAUUCCUUUUUUUAAAAGAACCCAAGAUAGAUACAUAGAUAGAUAAUGACUUCAAUCAUCCCGUGGGAAAUUCUAGGCAUCCAGUAGCUUAGACAAUCAUAACACAACAAACACAUACACACAUAUAUCUGACAUACAUAAAAAUCAGUCACAGAAAUUUACAGAGUUAAAGGUGCUAAGGUAGACUGUAUCUUAAAAACAAAAGGCUGCUUUCUUUUUAGAACAUGUUAUAAAGUCUCUCAUGUUAUCAGAAGCUCAGUUGUGUAACUAGGAACACCUUCCUAAUUAUGCUGAAAAUGAGUUAGUGUUUGCCGUGAAAACGCUUGAAAGGCUCGUAAUAUCCUUACUCCUCGGUGUCAUUACAGAAAAAAGUAUCUUCCCCUAUACGUGCUUUAACAGUUCCAGUGGAUUUGAUGUUAAAAUGAGAAGUGUUUUUCUGUCGUACCAGUAUACUACAUGUUUGCUAAUGGGCGCUUCGUGCAUCGAGUGUGCAGUUGUUUGAAGAUUGUCGCUGGUGUUGUCUUUAGCUUUGCUAUACCUCCAAAAAUGAUAAGCAGGGACCAAAUUAUUCUCCACAGCUUUGUUAUGGUCUUUAUUACUAUGUCUUGUGAGAUAUUUACAGCCUAUUAUAAAUAUAUAUAAACUUGUAGAGUUUGCAAUACAGUCAGGCAGAGACUUUCUUUCAAAAUGGAUUCAACAUAUUAUUAGCAAAGAUAAAUAAUAAUCAUGAUAGGUAUUUUUUUAUUUACACAACAUUCCAUGAUUGGCUUACUGGCCUGUGGGUAAGGAAGCCAUCCACACACACAUUUAAGCCUAGGGAUUCACUACAUGCAAUACUAGAUUACUGUGUGUGUGUGUGUGUGUGUGUGUGUUUCAGGGAAAGACAUUAGCACAUUAACCUGUGCUAUUAUAUUCCUCAUACUGCUCUCACAGAGCGUCGAGUGUUAGUGGUGGUGCACAUGCAGGGAAAACAGAACAUAAUAAAACUGCAGCUGUGCCUCAUCUGUCAGUGUCCAUGGUGACGGAUGACUUCUACAGUGUAGAGCAGCGGGUGGGACUUCAUUUGAAGUGUCCCUCAGCUUAGCAAUGGGCCAUAAUGUCUUCAUUUGACCAUUUAACACAGAUGGACAAUCCACCUGAAACAGCUGCUACAGAAAAAGAUGUAUUUAUUUUUGAAUGCUUCUAAAUGUCUUGUCAUUAAAUAUUGUAUUUAUCCUCCAAUGUUAUGGAUCAUUUUAUUCUAAUGUAAGACAGUGCAUUUUGUUUAAUAUUAUGCUCUCUAGCUAUUUGUUCUGUCUUAUAAAAACGUGUCUGACUAACAUUUGAAUGUACAGUGUGUCCGUCUGUGUGAUGAAGUUGCAAUCAAACAGUGGUUUGGAGAUGUGUCUGACGGUGAAGCAGAUCAACCUCACAGCUGAUCCUGGUAUCAACACACAAGCCAUGAAAUGCAUAAAGUGGGGACACACCCCUGUAACGUAAAUUUCACAUUCUAACCACAAAAUCCUCCUGAAUGUCACUGAUAUCAGUCCAAACCGACUGAAUUGUUCUUUAAUUUGAACCUUUCUGUCUGUCUGUUUUCACAAUUCUGUAUCCUGUGUGUGAAAAAACAUAUAUUCUGAAAAUAAAAAUGUCGUCA